rnacentral:rRNA from 1 species
UACGUAGGGUGCAAACGUUGUCCGGAAUUAUUGGGCGUAAAGAGCUCGUAGGCGGUCUGUCGCGUCUGCUGUGAAAACUCGGGGCUUAACCCCGGGCCUGCAGUGGGUACGGGCAGACUAGAGUGCGGUAGGGGAGACUGGAAUUCCUGGUGUAGCGGUGAAAUGCGCAGAUAUCAGGAGGAACACCGGUGGCGAAGGCGGGUCUCUGGGCCGUAACUGACGCUGAGGAGCGAAAGCGUGGGGAGCGAACAGG